CAAUAGCGUAUAUUAAAGUUGUUGCGGUUAAAAAGCUCGUAGUUGGGUUUCUGCUGAGAACGACCGGUCCGCCCUUUGGGUGUGUAUCUGGCUCUUUCUUGGCAUCUUCUUGGUGAACGUUGCUGCACUUGACUGUGUGGAGCGCUACCCAGGACUUUUACUUUGAGGAAAUUAGAGUGUUUCAAGCAGGCAUACGCCUUGAAUACAUUAGCAUGGAAUAAUAAGAUAGGACCUCGGUUCUAUUUUGUUGGUUUCUAGAGCUGAGGUAAUGAUUAAUAGGGAUAGUUGGGGGCAUUCGUAUUUAACUGCCAGAGGUGAAAUUCUUGGAUUUGUUAAAGACGGACUACUGCGAAAGCAUUUGCCAAGGAUGUUUUCAUUGA
rnacentral:rRNA from 1 species